rnacentral:rRNA from 1 species
GUGCCAGCCGCCGCGGUAAAACGUAGGAGGCGAGCGUUAUCCGGAUUCACUGGGCUUAAAGCGCGUGCAGGCGGUUCGGUAAGUCGGACGUGAAAUCUCCUGGCUCAACUGGGAGAGGCCGUUCGAUACUGCCAAACUAGAGGGCAGGAGAGGGAGGUGGAAUUCCGGGUGUAGCGGUGAAAUGCGUAGAUAUCCGGAGGAACACCUGUGGCGAAAGCGGCCUCCUGGUCUGCCCCUGACGCUCAGACGCGAAAGCUAGGGGAGCAAACGGGAUUAGAAACCCCCGUAGUCC